UACUUAGGAAAGUUGAGGCUUUUGUAUCCUUCCUCACAGAAAUUGAGAGACUUUUUUUCUUUGUUUAAAUUUUUUUUUUUUUUUUUUUUUUUUUUUUUUUUUUUUUUUUUUUUUUUUUUUUUUUUUUUUUUUUUUUUUUUUUUUUUUUUUUUUUUUUUUUUUUUUUUUUUUUUUUUUUUUUUUUUUUUUUUUUUUUUUUUUUUUUUUUUUUUUUUUUUUUUUUUUUUUUUUUUUUUUUUUUUUUUUUUUUUUUUUUUUUUUUUUUUUUUUUUUUUUUUUUUUUUUUUUUUUUUUUUUUUUUUUUUUUUUUUUUUUUUUUUUUUUUUUUUUUUUUUUUUUUUUUUUUUUUUUUUUUUUUUUUUUUUUUUUUUUUUUUUUUUUUUUUUUUUUUUUUUUUUUUUUUUUUUUUUUUUUUUUUUUUUUUUUUUUUUUUUUUUUUUUUUUUUUUUUUUUUUUUUUUUUUUUUUUUUUUUUUUUUUUUUUUUUUUUUUUUUUUUUUUUUUUUUUUUUUUUUUUUUUUUUUUUUUUUUUUUUUUUUUUUUUUUUUUUUUUUUUUUUUUUUUUUUUUUUUUUUUUUUUUUUUUUUUUUUUUUUUUUUUUUUUUUUUUUUUUUUUUUUUUUUUUUUUUUUUUUUUUUUUUUUUUUUUUUUUUUUUUUUUUUUUUUUUUUUUUUUUUUUUUUUUUUUUUUUUUUUUUUUUUUUUUUUUUUUUUUUUUUUUUUUUUUUUUUUUUUUUUUUUUUUUUUUUUUUUUUUUUUUUUUUUUUUUUUUUUUUUUUUUUUUUUUUUUUUUUUUUUUUUUUUUUUUUUUUUUUUUUUUUUUUUUUUUUUUUUUUUUUUUUUUUUUUUUUUUUUUUUUUUUUUUUUUUUUUUUUUUUUUUUUUUUUUUUUUUUUUUUUUUUUUUUUUUUUUUUUUUUUUUUUUUUUUUUUUUUUUUUUUUUUUUUUUUUUUUUUUUUUUUUUUUUUUUUUUUUUUUUUUUUUUUUUUUUUUUUUUUUUUUUUUUUUUUUUUUUUUUUUUUUUUUUUUUUUUUUUUUUUUUUUUUUUUUUUUUUUUUUUUUUUUUUUUUUUUUUUUUUUUUUUUUUUUUUUUUUUUUUUUUUUUUUUUUUUUUUUUUUUUUUUUUUUUUUUUUUUUUUUUUUUUUUUUUUUUUUUUUUUUUUUUUUUUUUUUUUUUUUUUUUUUUUUUUUUUUUUUUUUUUUUUUUUUUUUUUUUUUUUUUUUUUUUUUUUUUUUUUUUUUUUUUUUUUUUUUUUUUUUUUUUUUUUUUUUUUUUUUUUUUUUUUUUUUUUUUUUUUUUUUUUUUUUUUUUUUUUUUUUUUUUUUUUUUUUUUUUUUUUUUUUUUUUUUUUUUUUUUUUUUUUUUUUUUUUUUUUUUUUUUUUUUUUUUUUUUUUUUUUUUUUUUUUUUUUUUUUUUUUUUUUUUUUUUUUUUUUUUUUUUUUUUUUUUUUUUUUUUUUUUUUUUUUUUUUUUUUUUUUUCAGGCGCCCCAGUAGAUGCUAUUAUCUUCAUUUUACAGAUGCAGAGACUGAGACACAGAAGUUUUAG
rnacentral:lncRNA from 1 species